rfam:Triticum urartu cultivar G1812 contig117161, whole genome shotgun sequence.
UAACUACUCCCUCCGUUCCGAAUUACUUGUCUUGGAUUUGUCUAGGUACAGAUGUAUCUAGACUCAUUUUAGUGUUAGAUACUUCCGUAUCUAGACAAAUUCAAGACAAGUAAUUUGGAAGGGAGGGAAUAUUUG